rnacentral:rRNA from 1 species
GGCAUUCUGAAGGAAUGUCAUCCAACUUGGUUGGAGGCUAACGCAGGGAACUGAAACAUCUUAGUACCUGCAGGAAAAGAAAAUAAAUAAUGAUUCCCCUAGUAGUGGCGAGCGAACGGGGAUUAGCCCAAACCACCCAUGUUACGGCAUGUGUGGGGUUGUAGGACCACGCUCUCGCAAGACAGUUAUUGAGAAGAAACGACUGGAAAGUCGUGCCAUAGACGGUGAUAGCCCGGUAUUCUAAGGUAACCGAAGCGUAGUGGUAUCCUGAGUAGCGCGGAGCACGAGGAAUUCUGCGUGAACCAGCCGGGACCAUCCGGUAAGGCUAAAUACUCCCGAGAGACCGAUAGCGAACC